GAUGAACGCUGGCGGCGUGCCUAAUACAUGCAAGUCGAGCGAACGGACGAGAAGCUUGCUUCUCUGAUGUUAGCGGCGGACGGGUGAGUAACACGUGGAUAACCUACCUAUAAGACUGGGAUAACUUCGGGAAACCGGAGCUAAUACCGGAUAAUAUUUUGAACCGCAUGGUUCAAAAGUGAAAGACGGUCUUGCUGCCACUUAUAGAUGGAUCCGCGCUGCAUUAGCUAGUUGGUAAGGUAACGGCUUACCAAGGCAACGAUGCAUAGCCGACCUGAGAGGGUGAUCGGCCACACUGGAACUGAGACACGGUCCAGACUCCUACGGGAGGCAGCAGUAGGGAAUCUUCCGCAAUGGGCGAAAGCCUGACGGAGCAACGCCGCGUGAGUGAUGAAGGUCUUCGGAUCGUAAAACUCUGUUAUUAGGGAAGAACAUAUGUGUAAGUAACUGUGCACAUCUUGACGGUACCUAACCAGAAAGCCACGGCUAACUACGUG
rnacentral:rRNA from 1 species